GUCGAAUGGUAACGCAGCCGACUGCAGAAUUUUGGGCUGGCGGUUCAAAUCCUGG
rnacentral:tRNA from 16 species